GACGGAGGAUGCAAGUGUUAUCCGGAAUCGCUGGGCGUAAAGCGUCUGUAGGUGGUUUAAAAAGUCUACUGUUAAAAAUUGAAGCUUAACUUCAAAGAUGCCGUAGAAACUUUUAAACUUGAGGAUGGUAGGGGUAGAGGGAAUUUCCAGUGGAGCGGUGAAAUGCGUAGAGUCUUGGAAAGACCACCAAUGGCGAAGGCACUCUACUGGGCCAUGACUGACACUAAGAGACGAAAGCUAGGGGAGCAAAUGGG
rnacentral:rRNA from 1 species